rnacentral:scRNA from 1 species
GGAGGCUAUUGAUAGGGCGCG